GGACUACUGGGGUAUCUAAUCCUGUUCGCUCCCCACGCUUUCGCGCCUCAGUGUCAGUAUCAGUCCAGAUAGCCGCCUUCGCCACUGGUGUUCCUUCCGAUCUCUACGCAUUUCACCGCUACACCGGAAAUUCCACUAUCCUCUACCGUACUCUAGAUAAACAGUAUGAUUGGCAAUCCCUCGGUUAAGCCCAGGUCUUUCACCACUCACUUAUUUACCCACCUACGCGCCCUUUACGCCCAGUUAUUCCGAUUAACGCUUGCACCCUCUGUCUUACCGCGGCGGCUGGCAC
rnacentral:rRNA from 2 species